ACUCAAAGGAAUAGACGGGGGCCCGCACAAGCAGCGGAGCGUGUGGUUUAAUUCGAUGCAACGCGAAGAACCUUACCUGGGCUUGAACGUGUCCUGACCGCCGGUGAAAGCCGGUUUCCCUUCGGGGCAGGGUGCGAGGUGCUGCACGGCUGUCGUCAGCUCGUGCCGUGAGGUGUUGGGUUAAGUCCCGCAACGAGCGCAACCCCUGUCGCUAGUUGUACUUUUCUAGCGAGACUGCCCGUAGCAAACGGGAGGAAGGCGGGGAUGACGUCAAGUCAGCGUGGCCCUUACGUCCAGGGCUACACACACGCUACAAUGGCCGGUACAACGGGUCGCGACACGGCGACGUGAAGCUAAUCCCUCAAAACCGGCCCCAGUUCAGAUUGCAGGCUGAAACCCGCCUGCAUGAAGUCGGAGUUGCUAGUAACCGUGGGUCAGCACACCGCGGUGAAUACGUUCCCGGGCCUUGUACACACCGCCCGU
rnacentral:rRNA from 1 species